rnacentral:rRNA from 1 species
CAGCCGCCGCGGGAAUACAGAGGUCCCGAGCGUUGUUCGGAUUCACUGGGCGUAAAGGGUGUGUAGGAGGUUUGGUAAGUCAGGUGUGAAAUCCCGCAGCUCAACUGCGGAACUGCAUUCGAUACUGCCGAACUAGAGGCUUGGAGGGGGAAGCGGAAUUCUUGGUGUAGCGGUGAAAUGCGUAGAUAUCAAGAGGAACACCGGUGGCGAAGGCGGCUUCCUGGACAAGUCCUGACUCUGAAACACGAAAGCCAGGGGAGCGAAUGGGAUUAGAUACCCCCGUAGUCCCUGUCUCUUAUAC